rnacentral:lncRNA from 1 species
AAAAAAGUAUUCAAUCAGGAAAUGCAAAUUAAAACAAAAAGAAAGUUUCGGGUAAUUGUUUUAGAUUGAACACGUAGAUGUCCUUCUCAAACACCAUUAAAAAGGACACAAAAGGCAUAAAUGCAGAAUACAAGGGAAUGGCUGAAGAAACAGUAACAAAUCAAAGAUGUCAACAAAUGUUUACAGACUGGAACCAGAUGGACAAGUGAUAACUGACUUAGCAGAGCUGAGAAAGCCUACACCUUAGUCUGUAGGGAAAGCCAGAGAGAAAAAGAUCAAUUCCUGCCCUAGCUCCCUGAAGAUGCUCAGAUGUUGGAGGCACCAGGUUCUGGAGGAGCACUAAGAUGUGAAAACUGGAUGAGAAAAACAUGCCAAGAAGAGAGAGCGUUCAUCAUAUUUUCUGUUUGCAUACGUCCUUGGUGCUUCUGAAGCUUUGAGGCUUAGCUUCCCCUCAUUGUACACAGGAAAAUUCUUCUUGACUUAUGUGUGUUGUUCACAAAAGUACUAAGUAGCAUCAUGGAAUUUGAGAAGGUGUUUUCUCAAAUCAUUUGUUUUUGAGUGUAUCUCAAUAUUACAAUUUCAGAAGACAAUUAGAACUAGGAUAAUAGAAAUAUAGAGAGAAUGCAUGUUAAAUUACAGACAAGCAUCAAUGAUGGUUGAAAUUCCCAUAGAACCAAGUUGGAAAAUAUGAUCUGUCGUUUAAGACCAAUUCCACACAUAGGAGGAAUUGGAAGUUGCCUAACAAAACAGAUUUAGGCACAAAAGUCAGGGCAUUGUUCUAGAACAAUGGUCUUUAAAGUGUGCUAUAGAUCAAUGUUUCUACGUUCAUUAUCAGAAUCUAAUUACUCUGAGUGUGAUGUUUUUCUUUAAUCUCUUAGGGAAGGAGGGCAUCUUCAAAGCCUGCUAGGUGUGGCUUCUUUUAAAUUCUGUAGUAUAGACAUUUUCUUACACAGCUUUUGUAUGUGGAUCCAUCGAAACACCAAAAAUAAACUGAAUGCUUAGUCCUUGGUCUGAAACAGUCAUCC